rnacentral:lncRNA from 1 species
CUCAGUGAAAUCCUGGCAGGGAGCAGCUCCUCGCGUCGGGGUCAGCACCCUGCUGGGCGGGCUAUCAGACAAGCUGGUAUUUGGGUGGCUCCCCACCCUCAGCAGCCUGGAGCUCCAUCUUUUUUCCUCCGUGACUCUGUGCAUAAAGCCUAGGGUCUGUGAUGCAUUUAUUGUCUUUCUCUCCUGUUACCUGGAGCAGCCAGUGCUCCAGUUUCCCUUUGGGGUUUUGCUCCUUGAACCGGUUUUGACAUCCCGCAACAUCCAGGCUCAUUGUUUUCCCUUGCUGAAGGUCUUGAAUUCCCAGAUUUUAGAUGCAGGCUUCUUCCAUCACAACACGCUCUUCCAGCCUCAGCUGUAAGUCUCCAUCGGGUAUUUGAAUGUUACUUAAACUGGAAUUAGAGUCAUCAGCUUAGUAAUCCUCCAAAUUACUGCAUAACCAGAGACAGAGUGUGGUGGGAAGAGCUGCCUCUGGGUGUCCUGCCCAAGCUGUGUGAUCUUGAGCAAGUCAGUUCACUUCUCUGAGCCUCCGCUUCAGCAUCAGGCUAUUUGGAAACAGGAGCAGAUGGUCAGACAACCUCCACUCUAGGGUGACCUCCCACCAGCUCCUUCUUCCUCUCCCAAGUCCCAGGCUGAGCUGUCCCACAUCCCAGAUCUCAAAGCUCUCAGAACGGUGGUUCUCAAAGUGGGGUCCUUGGACCAGCAGCAUCAGCAUCGCCGAGAACUGGUUAAAAAUGCAAAUUCUUGGGCUUCAUCCCAGACCUACAGAUCCAGAAACUCAGGGGGUGGGUUUUAAUCCCAGCCGUCUGUGCUUUAACAAGCCCUCCAGGUGAUUCUGAUGCACACGGAGGCUGAGGACCACUCCCCGGGAGAAUCUGUGCCGGGAUACCCCUCUAAGUCAGAGGCUUCUUCUGCCUCCAUAAUAAUGGCCACACUUGGCACCCCUACAUCUUCCAAGUGCUUUCCACCUCCAGCUGCCCACUGCAACUAGCACCAUCCCUCUGAGGAGAGAAGGAAUCGUUCUUCCAUUUUACACACGAGGAAACUGAGGCUCAGGGCCUCGCCCAAGGUCACGGACGGCAGAACCAGGUCUCCAUCUGGCCUCCUCAUUCCAAGGCAGGGGUUCUUUCCUGGCUACCUUGUGGUUUUCCGGGCUCCUUAGACCAAAGGAAUAAACACAUUCCCACCCACCAGAAAAGAAAUCCCCACUUCCAGCCCUCUCUCCCCAAUUUCCAGUUGCAAUCCCAGGAGAGAGCAUCCAGGAAACAUAAAUUUUGCUGGCGGCUGAGUAAGAGCUCUGAAAGGAGUUACACGUCAGGGAGAUGGGACUUUAUUUCUCAAUGAAAUAGCCUUUUUAUGGUUGGAAUAAAAGUGCCAGCGGGAGCCUAAUGCCAGGAAGUAGCGAGCACGUUUGAUAAACUCCUUC